rnacentral:rRNA from 1 species
UACGUAGGGGGCGAGCGUUGUCCGGAAUUAUUGGGCGUAAAGAGCGUGUAGGCGGCCCGGUAAGUCCGCUGUGAAAGUCGGGGGCUCAACCCUCGAAUGCCGGUGGAUACUGUCGGGCUAGAGUGCGGAAGAGGCGAGUGGAAUUCCUGGUGUAGCGGUGAAAUGCGCAGAUAUCAGGAGGAACACCGAUUGCGAAGGCAGCUCGCUGGGACGUCACUGACGCUGAGACGCGAAAGCGUGGGGAGCAAACAGG